rnacentral:rRNA from 1 species
UUGCUUGGUGGUGAGAGUGGCGAACGGGUGAGUAAUGCGUGACCGACCUGCCCCAUACACCGGAAUAGCUCCUGGAAACGGGUGGUAAUGCCGGAUGCUCCAGUUGAUCGCAUGGUCUUCUGGGAAAGCUUUCGCGGUAUGGGAUGGGGUCGCGUCCUAUCAGCUUGACGGCGGGGUAACGGCCCACCGUGGCUUCGACGGGUAGCCGGCCUGAGAGGGCGACCGGCCACAUUGGGACUGAGAUACGGCCCAGACUCCUACGGGAGGCAGCAGUGGGGAAUAUUGCACAAUGGGCGCAAGCCUGAUGCAGCGACGCCGCGUGAGGGAUGGAGGCCUUCGGGUUGUAAACCUCUUUUAUCGGGGAGCAAGCGUGAGUGAGUUUACCCGUUGAAUAAGCACCGGCUAACUACGUGCCAGCAGCCGCGGUAAUACGUAGGGUGCAAGCGUUAUCCGGAAUUAUUGGGCGUAAAGGGCUCGUAGGCGGUUCGUCGCGUCCGGUGUGAAAGUCCAUCGCUUAACGGUGGAUCCGCGCCGGGUACGGGCGGGCUUGAGUGCGGUAGGGGAGACUGGAAUUCCCGGUGUAACGGUGGAAUGUGUAGAUAUCGGGAAGAACACCAAUGGCGAAGGCAGGUCUCUGGGCCGUUACUGACGCUGAGGAGCGAAAGCGUGGGGAGCGAACAGGAUUAGAUACCCUGGUAGUCCACGCCGUAAACGGUGGAUGCUGGAUGUGGGGCCCGUUCCACGGGUUCCGUGUCGGAGCUAACGCGUUAAGCAUCCCGCCUGGGGAGUACGGCCGCAAGGCUAAAACUCAAAGAAAUUGACGGGGGCCCGCACAAGCGGCGGAGCAU